UGCUAUUACAUCACAUGUGUUUCAUAAUAUCAUCAGAAAUAUGGAUGUCUAAUACAUAAAUAUGUCUCAUACAUGCACAAUAAUCGGAGAAGUACCGAAAAUAUCAAAUAAACAUAUAAUAUAUAGUACAACGCAUGACGUGAAAGAACAAAUAAAGUACAUAAAAUACUUCUCUACGACUCAUACUCAUUUUCCAACCCUCGCAUGCUCUCGAUGAUGUGGUAAUACUCUCAACCUCGAUCGACAAAUCCAUCCUCCGACCCGGCUCCUAAUAGGGGGGGGGGCAAAUUGGUGAACAUAAUAGUAAAAAAACCCGUUGGGGUGCCUGCAUAUUGAGUAAAUAAACAGAAAUCAAUAACACAUCAGUUGCACAACAAUAUAAUGGAAACCAACCAAAAAUAGAUACGGUAUGAAACAUCAGGGCAUAUGGCUCAUCUGCGCGAGUGGGAACGAUGACUAGGUAUGUACGGCCGAGGUACCACUAGAUGCACUCAGGAUCGGCGUAACCGUCAAUAACUCUAGGUAUAUAGGGAGUGCUGAACCGCGGUAAGUACGUCAACCAGAGGUGCUGAUUGUAGUGAAUGUGUGAGUGCAUAUUGUCUCCCAUCCAUAGGCCUCCAUGUUAGCGUUAGAGUAAUAUCUGGUAACGUCUGUCGGUACCCAUACUAUCGAGGACACGAGUGGGAUCAUGCGGUCCAUAUAGCGAAAUACGUGUAUACCUUCACCAUAUAAGGACCACUUCGCUUCACCGUCGAACUGGUAGACCGAAAGGAAGCCACUCGAUAUGUCUGUGUGUCAUCCCAUUCAGAUGCCUAUGGAGCAUCUGCAACCUCUCAUCAACAUCCUAUGCUCUGGAAAUGAUACUAGGUCCAUCCCACCUCCCCGUAAGGGACUGGCUGCUCAAUCGUGGUGUAGGGGAUGUAGUAUGACACAAGCAUGAAUAGUAAUCGUAGAUCCAUGACUGUAGCAAAGUUAGGCAGCGACCUACUAAUGUAGAACUUGCCCGAGAGGCAAGCCCGAGCGCCGGUAUGAAUAGGCAAGUGUAACUGACCGCCAACUGUACGUCCUGAUCGUCUGCACAUUUCGUAAACCCUCAAAGAUCCCAAUAUGACCAUGAUUACCACUAUGGUCCACAAAAAUGAUGGAGCCUAGUAUCUCCAUCAAGAAGCAGAUGGUCGUACCCGCAUCAUUAAGAUUAUCGGUCUCCGCAGCUGCGAGUAACAUAUCUAGAUGAAACCAACCUGAUGCAUAGUAUUUCUCAUUCAGCUCCUGCUCAAAAGAUUACGCAUGGAUGCAACCAGCGCCACAUAAUGGACAUCGCCCUCUGAAGUAAGCUGGAUGCCCUGAAUAGGAAUAUGGAAUAAGUACAAAACAUCGUGCAACGUAAUUGUCAUCUCACAAACAACAUGUGAAAGGUGUUGGUGCUUGGCUGCCAUCUCUCAACAAAUGCCUACGGUGGAGGAAUAUCCAGUUUGGACGACAUAAUGGAACCAAGGUGUGAUAAUCCGGUGGCUUCCACUAACUCCCGAGCCCUAGCGCUGCUCCAAGGGAACUUCUCCAGCUUGCUCAGCCUCUGUUUGCGGUGCGGAUCCUGAAUUUUCAUGACAAUCUCGACUCUAAAUCGCUUGUCCAGAUGCGGUUGGCUACGUGACUACCAAAACUAGGGAUCAUAUUCGGUAUCUGUGCCCGCUAGGUGCCAACCCAAUGACGAGCAGAUUUUACCCCGCCAAUCAAAUACCCACUAGAUUGCUCCAAUGGAGUCGUAUUUCCCUCGGGCCUUACUAAUGCUAUUACUCAAAUUGAUUAAGCUAACUAAACCAAGUAACAGUGAAUGAUUGUUUGAUCAAUUGCUUUCGUCACCGAUUAUCAAAUAAGAAUGCAAAACAAAAGAAAGCAAAUGCAAGAGAUUGAGUUUCAAAUAUAGAAUGAAGGUUGUUCGAAUUCGAAUCCACUAAACUAGCAAUGCAUGGAUGAACAAUUUGCAAUCUCGAUUCAGGUUAUAACGGUUUAGUGAUUUCCUAUGAUAGUCUUAGAUCACUCACGUGCCUCUAAGAAUCUAUUUUGCUCGAUCGUAGACUCUUCUCUUGAGCUAAUCUACACCCAAGCAUAAUGCACUAAAGGUGUUUGAUGAAAUGCCACAACGAUAAACGAUGGAAAAAGGCUAAACGAUCCGUUCCUCUCUUGAGCUAACGGAUAAUCUAGAGUUCUUCCUAAGGGACCUAUUAAUCUAUAUUCCUUUCAGGCCCAUAAAUCAAUAACUACAAUUCAAUUAAGGCGGUCAAACGAAAUUGAAUUAGAAAUUAAGUUUAGCAAGAACACUUCAUAAGUCUGAAUAACCUCGAUAACAAAUUAAAAGAUUAAAAGCCCAUCAUCCAUACAAAAUCCAAGCUAAAGUUUCAUGUAAUCCAAACAACAAAAAAGGUUUAGCCGCUCAUUGUUUCAUAAAAUAAAUCACAAGAGAAGAAAACAAAAACCGGAGAAGAUGAUACGUGCUUCGUGGAAACCCCAAUCUUCAACUUGACGAUUCGCCCUUCGCCAAUUGUGGUUGAUCCUCUCACUUCAAUCGUCUCUCUGGAACUCUAGCUUUCUCUAAGAGCUCAAAAUAUGUGUAUAAUAAAGUUGGAUGAUGUCUAUUGAUGUCCCAACGGUUUAUAUAGACUUCUAGACCAAGUUGGAGAAGGAAAAGGCCAAAACAUCUGGUAAGAUGAUGUCUAUCGACGGCCGCGUGUUAUGCUUCCCGUAGUUGCUGCUCGCUAACACACGCCAUGUGUUAAAAUACACAGAUUUUGCUCUCUCCAACAACAUCAAAGUUGUAGGCCAUGGAAUUAUGUUUCCAAAACUCCUGACCUUGCAUCAAUCGGACUUCCAAGCAAUGCGUUAUGCCUAAAAUACUAAACUGCAACAUUUUCAUCCCAAGUCGAACGUACUGAGUUGUUCCAGCCUCUCCGAUAUGCCUUGAUUCAUCCCGAGAUGUAAUAUGACACCUGGAAUGUACAAAAAAUAUACAAAGCAAUGUCACACGGACCAAGGAGCCAAGGGGGACCAAAUAUGCACUAAACGUCAUGAAUCCAAACAUGUUAAGGCAUCCAAAUGUCCAAAAUUGUCAAUUAAAGACGGAACAAAUGGGAUAAUAAUUGGGCACAUCAUCCAGUAAGCCUCCACUCCUUGCCAGUGCUUGACUGGACCCCUAUAAAACGACAAGCUCUGCCACCUCUAGAGCCCAUAGUGGAAGAACCCCGAGAUGACCUACUAUCUGCUACCAGUGUACCGCCCCUCCCCUCCCAACUAGUUUCUUCCGCUAGCGUGUACUUGCAAGUAAUAGUGGAUGAAAUGUAGCAUCAUGAUCAUCGUUGAUAUGAGCUGAAACUCCUACUGAGACGAACAGGACAAUCUAUAAACUUCGGUUUCAAAAAAACUAACUAAAAUCCAAUAACCGGAUGGAAAGUUACUUAGCCGGCCAAUCAACUCAAGUUCAAAGCGAGGUCCAUGUCUCAAACGUGAAUGGUGCCACGAAGAAGCGAUGAUUGGCAGACUACGAUAUACGAGAAUCCUCUAUCCUAGCAACGGCGUGCUAUGAACAAGAAGAAUUUGAAAAAUAGCUCCAGGUCGAAAUUUACUUAAAACUUUAUAUAGGAGAGGUAGGCCACGAAAUUAGAAGGAAAUUAAGAAGGAGCCCUUGCCUUGCAAGGCAAGUAAUCCUUCUUCCUUAAGGAACACAUCUUGACUAGGUCAACCCUUACUCCUCAAAGAUAGAACUCGGCCAAAGAGCUCUUCAAGAGGGCUUCUUGGGCCUUAAUUAACAUUAUAACGUCUGAAUAGAAAGCGCAAAGUACUACUAAAACGCGAAUAAAAGAUAGAGGGCCACUUAAGCUCCAAAAUGGGCCUAGUGAGUCGUGCGCUUGGUGGAAGGUUUUAGACCAUGUCUAGGACUUGAACACCUCCAAGGCAGCCUCUUGGAUGUUUUGUAGACUUCUGGGUCGAGUAAAACUGGUCCGAGCUUGAAUGGAUGCAAGAGGCCUCGUUUCAGUGGCACCCACAUCACCGUAGCGAGUCCACUUGAGGCCUUGAGCCCGACUCUUGAUCUGGAUGAUCUGAAAGACUUGGAUGGGCUUCACUAUCUUAAAAAUACUUCUACUCAAGAGAUGGUUCAAGAAAAUUAUCUUUGUUUGAGCUCAGGCUCAAAUCUGCUUGAUAAGGAGAUCCGGGCGGGUGCGAUUUCGAGUGAUUUCGCACCUUUGUAUUCUCUACUGCUCUGAAUGCUCUCAAAGUUGGUGGAGGGUCUUCUUUUAUCAUAAUAUAUCUCUGCUCCAAAUAUAGGCCGAGGAAACUCUGCUCGUUUGCGUGUUCUUGAAGAAUCUUAAUUUUUAACGCGACACCGACAUCGAUGACACUCGUUGGCAUCAGUGCAACUCAUUCGAUCGCCAAUUCUUUGAGGAUGAACUUGUCUUCAUUAAUCCAUGACAGGGACAUCCUUGUUUCCAUCUUCGAUGGUCCUCCUCCAAAUGCUUGCUUUGGCUCCAAGGUUCUUCAAGUUUGGUGACAUUUCCGCUAAUGACUGGUCGAAACCUUGGCAACAUGGAAUAGGGCUGCUGGGUGGGUUUCAUCAAUCGUCCUCAGACUGCUCUCUGUCAAACGGAAUCUGGUGAUUGGCGCUGUCUGAGUCAUCUGGAAUAUCAUCAAUAUCAUAUGCCAUCUCUGCGUCCUAGCUAUCAAAAAAUCUCAUCAACCGUCAACUCUGUCCGAGCAGAAUGCAGAUGGGGUCUACAUAUAUCGAUCCAGGAAUCUGGACUUGCACACUCGACUGACCAACUUCCGCUUUGAUUUCUUUCCCUUUGCUUUUCCCGGUUGCUCUCUUCAAUUUGAGGUAGAAAUUGGACGGUUGUUAAACUGGAGCAACGAAUUGCUACGUGCUCCCAACAUCUUCACCAACUAUAUAUGAAAUUUAAAUCGUAACUACUAAUUAGAAAUGAACACUUGCCAUAAAUUUCACAUUUUAAUAUCCAAUCAACUAAUUAAGUAGUAUAUUCAUUCCGAGAACUACUAAUAAUGACUAAUUACCAAAUACAAAAAUAGUAAUUCCUAAAUAUUAUAUUCAUCUACUUAACUCCUAAUCAUGAUUAAUAACUAAUUUCUAAAUAUUUAUUAACUAAUUACCAAAUAUUCAUUUAUCAAAUAUUUAAUUUAUAUAUAUUUAUGAAUAUUUAAUUACUAAUUCAGAUCACCCUAAUCAAAUUUUAAAUCUAGACAAAUCUAAAUUAAAUAAAUUAUAAUUAUUUAAAAAACAGCAUGGCGCACAGAUUGUGCACCACCAGUAUGUCCAAACCACUUGUAAUGUGCGUCGGCGACAACAACGGCGCCGGUUAAUAGAUCCGGCGACCAAUAAUGGUGCCGACGUUAUGGUGACUGGUGAACGUAAGUGGCGCUGGCGAUGGUUGUUUUGGCGCAUUAAAAUGGCGCCGCUUGUAUUUUUUUCAAUUCUCUAACCUAGAUUUGAGGCAGCGUUGCGGAGCUGAGGCGGCGACGGCGGCGGAUCUGAGGCGGCGGUGGCGGAUACAGGACUGCGGCGGCGGAUCUGUGGUAGCGGCAGCGGAUACACGGCAAUGGAUCUGAGGCAUCAGCGACAUUGUAUCUGGGGUGGCAUCGAUAAAUUUGGGGCAGCGGCGGAUCUGGGGCUACGUCGGAGAUUGGGGGCGGUGGCGGCUACCCUGUGGUGGCGAUGGCGGUUCAACCUUGCCGGAGAAGGAGAUGGAGGUGAGUGUGUGGGUUUCCAGUUAGGUUAUGAAUUUGUUUAUGAUUAUAUCGUAUUUAUAUUUAAAUAUUAGACUCGAAGAGCAUUCAUAACCAUACAUAUCAAAUUGAAAUGCGAGGACGAUUUUUUCCACGAUCC
rnacentral:lncRNA from 1 species